rnacentral:rRNA from 1 species
UACGGGGGGGGCAAGCGUUGUUCGGAAUUACUGGGCGUAAAGGGCUCGUAGGCGGCCAACUAAGUCAGACGUGAAAUCCCUCGGCUUAACCGGGGAACUGCAUCUGAUACUGGAUGGCUUGAGAUUGGUAGAGGGAUGCGGAAUUCCAGGUGUAGCGGUGAAAUGCGUAGAUAUCUGGAGGAACACCGGUGGCGAAGGCGGCAUCCUGGACCAACACUGACGCUGAGGCGCGAAGGCCAGGGGAGCAAACGGG